UGAACCAGAGCAGAUCAAAUCAAAGGCAAUACAAAGAUAAUUAAAUAACAAAAUAAGGCGGAUAAACGUAUCAUAGACCAUUUAGUUAACGUUACUCAAUAAAUGGAGCAAUCGGCAGGUGUGUGUAUUUAUGGCAUUCAUGACGAAUAUGCAGCGACAGCGACCACUAAAGGUGCACUAAGGAAUUCCCGCGCGUGACAUCAGCGCCAAGAAAAGCGCGCCAUUCUACAUCAGUUAUUGAGCAGCAGACCAGAAAGGAGCUGCUGGGCGAAUAAUUGUGUUUGAAUGACUGAAAGGUUGAUUGGAGGUCCCAGAGUGUCCACUAGAUGGUGAAAGAGCCUUUAGGAAUGCUAGAUGAGAACCGUGAGAAUGAAGGGCAGAAAAGACACUUUCCUCAAAAUCCACAAAACAAAUGUCCUUUAUGGUUCAAGUCAAGAGCACCACUGAAUGCUUGGGGAUAUGUCACAUCUACUCACUGCCAGCCUUAUGACAGAUUCUCUGCAAAACUACAGCAUAAGCAACCCAAG